GCAUGGUGUGAUGAUGAUCUCUG
rnacentral:siRNA from 1 species